CAGGGAUAUUCUAUAGAAGCUGGCAUACUGGAAGAAGCAUUGCUCAAGACACGAGAGGAAUGAUACUAUCAACAUCACUUGAAUAUUAAAUGGAUGGAAUUAUCUUGUCUUGCCCGGUCGGACCCUCUGAAGAACUACAUAUUUGUACCUUGAAAGGAAAGUGAAUGUACCCCGAAGCAGGGUAGUGGAAAGCGGCAGAGAGAUAGAUAAUGAACUUAAAAACGA